GAAGCAGAAGACUUCAAGCACUCAAGAGAAGUUUCUAAAUUGGAAACCUAUGCAGAAAAAUAUCUAUUUUUUACUGGCUGUCUCACCUUAUAUUAUUAAUAAAGAACUCUACAGUGUGACUUCCACAAGAAAAAGCAGAAAGAAUAUUACUGAAUAGAAAACUUUCUCCUAUCAACAACAGGACCUUCCAUUCACCUUUACUGCAAAGAAAAUCAGAAAUAUAUCCUGGGAGCUAUGAGGAAUAAUAAAUGAAUGAAUACAUUCUGCAAGGAGCAGCAACAGAAAAGGUUGGACCGAAGGACCAUCAAAGGGACACUUGCCACUAACAUGAACACGGAUGUACAGAAAAUGUGCUGCCUAACUUUUUGGCUUUUGGCAACCAUGUGAAGCAAUGAGCCAGUGUCUUCAUUUCAAAGAGAACAAGAGAAACUGAGUACUUAGUUAAUGAGAGUUGGAUACCAGCUAACAGUGAAAAAACCUAAGGCCCUUAAACCUUUUUGCAGAACAAAGAUUUUUCAAAC